UUUACCAUUAUACAAUAUUGAUCGUGUUACCACUCAAUUUUUGCUCGCUCUUCGAAAAAAUUAUUUUCAAAUUCGCUAAAAUUUUAUAUUCAAAAGUGAGAUAAUUAUUGUAAGUAGUUUAGUAUUUUUUAUUAUUUUUUUCAGGAAAAAAAAAAAAAAAAGAUUCCGAAUCCGAAUGUAGCCUUGAUCGUCUAUAUUAGGUCCAAACCCGCGCUUAUGUAUUGCGAAUUCCAGCGGGAAAUCGUGGAGCAGCGGCGCCUCAUAUUUCUAUUAUCGAAAGCAAAGAAGUUCCCAAUCUAAGGGUUCAUAAAGUCUUACGUUUGCAGAUAAGAACGAAGGGAUGGGGACUCGACAAGGAACUGUGUGAUGGUUGAGUGAGUUGAGGCCAAGUCGUAGAUCUGAUCGUGAGACAACUUGAGGCAUAUGAGAAAUAAUGAGGUUCUAUUUUGUUGACGACUGUUGUUUGUGACUGUUCAUUGUUGUCAAAUCUUGUCCAUUGGAGGGUAGCGGUUCCAACAAUUUUAGGGUGCGUUCCUCUGCCAUACUGUGAUUGCCCUUUCAAAUCAGAAUGACAUUAUGAAAUUUGACCUCAAUCGUCCAUUCUGGUUUAAAGGAGCGAACUUCAAAUGGUGGAAGUAGAAGAUGCUGUUUUUCCUCACAGAGCCAAUGGUCCCAAAUGAAGAUCCGACUGAACAACAAAUAAAAGAAGUUGUUGAUUGGCCGAUUGUUGUCUGUUUUUCAACAAAUAAAACAAGAGAUGCCCAUGUUUUAAAGGGAAUGGAGAGAUAGAUAAAUGUUCCAUUUUCUUGACGACUAUUGUUUGUGACUGUUCAUUGUUGUCAAAUCUUUCCCAUCGGAGGGUAGCAGUUCCAACAAUUUUAAGACGCGUUCCUCUUCCACUGCUGUGAUGGCCCUUUCAAAUCAGAACGAUAUUAUGACAUUUGACCUCAAUCGUCCAUUCCGGUUCGAAGGAGCGAACUUCAAAUGGUGGAAACAAAAGAUGCUGUUUUUCCUCACAGUCAAGAAGAUUGCCACGUUUAUAUUACGAAGAAGCCAACGGUCUCGAAUGAAGAUCCGAUUGAACAACAAAUAAAAGAAGCUGCUGAUUGGGAAGAUUUUUUUUUUUUUUUUGUGUAAAAAUUUUAGAUUAAAUGGUUUGACUGGUGAUCUGUAUGAUUACUACAGCACAAUGAAGACAACAAAGGAAGUUUGGGACGCCCUACAGAAGAAGUACGAUACUGAGGAGGUCGGAUCGAAAAAAUAUGUUGUCAACCGUUUCCUUAAGUUCCAGAUGACGAAUGACAAAUUUGUAGAGCCCUAGUCCCAUGAACUGCAGAAGAUAACCCAUGAAAUAAUAAAUGAAGAUAUGCUCCUAAAUGAGCAAUUCCAAAUUGUCGUGAUAAGUUGCCUCCUUUGUGGAAGGAUUUCAAGAACACCUUGAGGCAUAAGACCAAGGAGUCUUCCUUGAAGAGUCUGAUCACUCGACUGAGGAUUGAGGAAGAAGCCCGAAAGUAGGACCAGAGGGAGGAGAUGAAUAUUGUUUCUGGGAAAGUCACCUCUACCGUGAUGAAGCCUAACCAAAAGUCCAAGGGAACCAAGACGAAAGGUCAAAACCGUGGUUCUAGCAACCAGAACAAUCAGAAGAAGCAAAAACAACCCUCGAGAGAAAUGGUAUAGUUCCUUUGCUUCAACUAUAAUAAACCUGGACACAUGGCUAGACAUGGUAGGAACAAACAUCGUUCUGUUAGUCAGGCAAACUUGACAGAAGAACCGUUAGUUGCCAUGAUCACAGAAGUAAAUGUGAUCGGUGGUUCUGAGGGAUGGUAGAUAGACACUAGCGCUAUGUGCCAUGUCGACAAACCUUAGUCUCUUUAAAAUUUAUACUGAAACUAAGGAUAAGAACAUUCUGUUGGUGGAUCACCAUUCAAUGAAAGUUGUUGGAACCGACGAGGUGGAGCUGAAAUUUACAUCUAGGAAGACUCUCACCUUGAAAGAUGUCCUACACACUCCGGAGAUAAGAAAGAAUUUGGUCUCGAGCUAUCUUCUCAACAAGGUCAGAUUUAACCAAACAAUAGGGGCAGAUUUAUAUACCCUUAUUAAGAAUAAUGUAUUCGA